CUAAAAUUCAAACGAAAACAAAAUAUAUUUUCUGCAUUUGCGGUUUGAAUUAAAGACAUUUAAUUUAUCUGGAAAGUUGUAGUUGAAAGGGCAGCUGUAAUUGAUCAUAUAAUUUAAAUCACGACUCACCUCAGUGCUCCGAAAUUGUAGAUUACUGUAUGCACUAUCACACAGUUCUCUCUUCUCGAAUAAAUAUUUUCUUUAUUUUUUGCUUUGGAAAAUAUUAGAUAAAUACACGUCAAGCACUUGGUCAUGAAUUACUGUAGCUAAUAGCAUUGCGCACAAUAUUAAAAUAGUGUGUUGGGUUUUGUUGGGCUGUUGGAUUUUGUUGUGCUAUUGGGUUUUGCUGUGGUGUUGAGUUUUGUUGGGUUUUGUUGGGUUUGUAGGAUCUGUUGGGUUUGUAGGAUCUGUUGGGUUUGUUGGAUCUGUUGCGUUUGUUGGAUCUGUUGGAUUUGUUGGGUUUGUUUGAUCUGUUGGGUUUUUGGGGGUCUGUUCGUAUUUUGAAGAUUUGGAUAGGGGGGCAAGCUCAGGGCCGUGCCGAGCGAUAUCUGGUUGGGGGAGGGGUGAAUUCAAAAAUUUGGGAGGGCCCUCAAAAAAAAUUUUCCGGAAUGUAAACAUUUUUCCAGAAACUUUUGGCGACGGAGGGAGGGAGGGAG
rnacentral:lncRNA from 1 species